UUUUUUUUUUUUUUUUUUGGAGUCUCACUCUGUCACCCAGGCUGGAGUGCAGUGGUGCAACCUCGGCUCACUGCAAGCUCCACCUCCCGGGUUCAAGUGAUUCUCCUGCCUCAGCCUCCCGAGUAGCUGAGACUACAGGUGUGUGCCACCACAUUCAGCUAAUUUUUUGUAUUUUUAGUGGAGACGGGGUUUCACCGUGUUAGCCAGGAUGGUCUCCAUCUUCUAACCUCGUGAUCUGCCUGCCUUGCCCUCCCAAAGUGUUGGGAUUACAGGUGUGAGCUACCACACCCGGCCACAAGUGGUAAUUUUAAACUAUGCUUCAAACCAUUACACAAAGCCAAGUACAUCUACUCAAGGCACUCUCAAAUUUCCAUUUACUCCCAUUUUACUCACCAAAAAAAAAAAAGUUAAAUUGGAACGUAUUUCACAUGACACUUAAAAGAUCAACAAACUGCUCCUGAAAAGGUCUGAGCUCAACAACUCCAUUAAUGAGAAAAAAAACAAACCAACUGGAUAUAGGGAAGAUGCUACACAUAAAACACAAUUGUGAAGAAUAUGCAAGAUAUUGCCAAAAAGCUGCUUAAGCUUUCAUCAUAGAUACUUGUCCUCAACUCUGAGAUAAAGUAUAUACUCAUGUAACUAAACUCGUUUAAAAGGAAACAAAGGGGAAGAAGAAAAAGAACUUCCACUUUAGAAUCCGCAUUUUCAAAGGCCUCCAUUAUUUACACCAUUGCGGGGAAGAGAAUUUUUCUCUGCUAUAUUUGCUUGAAAGAAUUAAAGGUGUAGGGCAAAAAUUCUUGGAAAUUAUGUAGUUUAUGAUCCUCAAAAGUGAGAAAAAUGAAGCCCAGAAGAGAAGGCCUUCCAGGAGAAUUCCAGAGCCGGAGGUAGACCCAGUACAUUGUUUUUGUUUUUGUUUUGAGAGGAAGUCUCACUCUAUGGCCCAGGCUGGAGUGCAGUGGAGCCAUUUCACUCACUGCAACCUCCGCCUCCUGGGUUCAAGCUAUUCUCCUGCCUCAGCCUCCUGAGGAGCUGCGAUUACAGGCGCCCACCACCACGCCCAACUAAUUUUUGUAUUUUUAGUAGAGACAGGGUUUCACCAUGUUGGCCAGGUUGGUCUCGAACUCCUGACCUCAAGUGAUCCGCCUGCCUAGACCUCCCAAAGUCCUCGGAUUACAGGCGUGAGCCACCGCACCCGGCCGACCUGGUAAGUUUUAAUCAAGUACUCUGAACUAUGCAACAAACACUAGGAAGUAAUAGAAAAAAAAUUAAUCUAAAAACCCUCUGGAGAGUCAAAGAAUUGCAGAUUUAAAAGAGCAUGAAUAGUUGGAUUCAUGGUAUUGAAAAAGGACCUCGCAUUUACCAGCAUGCACAAACUGCCUGCGCACCUCUAUCAGAGCAUUUUUCAAGCUGUGCUACAGUUAACUUGUACUACCCAAAGCCAAUCUGUCCC
rnacentral:lncRNA from 1 species